ACUAGGCCUUAAUUAUAAGCCAAACCAAGAUUAAUAUUACCCUUUUGCAUCAUGAUUAAAUGAUUAUAGCUCUAUUAUUAGAAUCUUCGAAAAUGCGUGAUCUUAUACACUAAUAGCAAUGAUUGGGUAAUUCAUUAGUAAUGGUUUGUAAGAAGUGAUAAGUUACACGUACGCAUUUAUAUCUAAUUAGGGGGUCUUAACUCAGUCACAUUAUUUUAUUAUAAUGUGGCAGGAUACUUGCUCAACUACAAAUACAUAAUACAAAUGGAUUAAUAUUAUCCUCAGGCUUGUUACAAAGAUCAUUAUUAAAGUCAGUAGCAAUUAGAUAGCACCCCUCGCAUAAACACAUACAGAAAGAUUAUGUUAUAAAUAAGUAUAAAAAUAAUGUAAAUUUUUCUCGUAAUAAUCCGAACUGUUUAUUAAAAACAUUUCCUAGUACAAUAUUUACUAGGUAUCCCCUGCUCAUCGUUGUUAUUAACAACAAGAAGCCGCAGUAUUUUGACUGUGCUAAGGUAGCAUAAUUAAUUGCCUCUUAAAUAGAGGAUUGUCUGAAUGGGGUAAUUGGGUUUAACUUAAAAUUUACGUUAGAAGAAAUUAAUUUGUAGUUGCAGAAUACUACUUUAUAAUAUGGGACGGAAAGACCCUAAGAGCUUAUUUUUUUUUAUUUUGGGCAAAGCUAUAAAUUUAUUUAGUUUAUAAACCUAUUGGGAUAAAACUAAAGUUACCUUAGGGAUAACAGGGUUAGAUGUAUUUAGAGUCCUUAUCAAUAUACAUAAUUGCCACCUCGAUGUUGACUUAAAUUUACUUUAUUGUGUAGAAGCUUUACUAGUAAGCCUGUUCGGCUUUUAAAAUUUUUCAUGAGUUGAGUUAAGACCGGUGUAAGCCAGGUCGGUUCUUAUCUAUAACUGGUCUGCUAUAGUACGAAAGGAUUUAGCAGUAAAUAAUUUAUUAUUAAUUUUAG
rnacentral:rRNA from 1 species